rnacentral:rRNA from 1 species
UUGGAGGGCAAGUCUGGUGCCAGCAGCCGCGGUAAUUCCAGCUCCAAUAGCGUAUAUCAAAGUUGUUGCAGUUAAAAAGCUCGUAGUUGAAUCUCGGGGUUCAUACGUUGGUCGGGCUUUUUGGUCUGUACUAGCGUAAUGGAUUCCUACCUUCUGAAUAACCGGCAUGCCAUUAAUUUGGUGCGCCGGGGAAGCAGGACUGUUACCUUGAAAAAUUAGAGUGCUUAAAGCAGGCUUAUGCCUGAAUACAUUAGCAUGGAAUAAUGAAAUAGGACGGCAUGGUUCUAUUUUGUUGGUUUCUAGGAUCACCGUAAUGAUUAAUAGGGAUAGUUGGGGGCAUUAGUAUUUAAUUGUCAGAGGUGAAAUUCUUGGAUUUAUUAAAGACUAACUUCUACGAAAGCAUCUGCCAAGGAUGUUUUCAUUAAUCAAGAACGAAAGUUAGGGGAUCGAAGACGAUCAGAUACCGUCGUAGUCUUAACCAUAAACUAUGCCGACUAGGGAUCGGACGAUGUUAAUUUUUUAAUGACUCGUUCGGCGCCUUACGGGAAAC